rnacentral:rRNA from 1 species
AGUUUGAUUAUGGCUCAGGAUGAACGCUGGCGGCGUGCUUAACACAUGCAAGUCGAACGAAGCAGUUUAUACGAUCCUUUCGGGGUGACGAUUACUGACUGAGUGGCGGACGGGUGAGUAACGCGUGGGUAACCUGCCUUGUACAGGGGGACAACAGUUGGAAACGACUGCUAAUACCGCAUAAGCGCACGGUGUCGCAUGACACAGUGUGAAAAGUAUUUUCGGUACAAGAUGGACCCGCGUCUGAUUAGCUAGUUGGUGAGGUAAUGGCCCACCAAGGCGACGAUCAGUAGCCGACCUGAGAGGGUGACCGGCCACAUUGGGACUGAGACACGGCCCAAACUCCUACGGGAGGCAGCAGUGGGGAAUAUUGCACAAUGGGCGAAAGCCUGAUGCAGCGAACCGCCGCGUGAGCGAAGAAGUAUUUCGGUAUGUAAAGCUCUAUCAGCAGGGAAGAUAAUGACGGUACCUGACUAAGAAGCACCGGCUAAAUACGUGCCAGCCGCAGC